rnacentral:rRNA from 1 species
GAGUUUGAUCCUGGCUCAGAUUGAACGCUGGCGGAAUGCUUUACACAUGCAAGUCGAGCGGCAGCGCGGGGCAACCUGGCGGCGAGCGGCGAACGGGUGAGUAAUACAUCGGAACGUGCCCAGACGUGGGGGAUAGCCCGGCGAAAGCCGGAUUAAUACCGCAUGUGAUCUGAGGAUGAAAGCGGGGGACCUUCGGGCCUCGCGCGUUUGGAGCGGCCGAUGGCAGAUUAGGUAGUUGGUGGGGUAAAGGCUUACCAAGCCUGCGAUCUGUAGCUGGUCUGAGAGGAUGAUCAGCCACACUGGGACUGAGACACGGCCCAGACUCCUACGGGAGGCAGCAGUGGGGAAUUUUGGACAAUGGGCGAAAGCCUGAUCCAGCCAUUCCGCGUGCAGGACGAAGGCCCUCGGGUUGUAAACUGCUUUUGUACAGAACGAAAAGUCUUCGGUUAAUAACCCGGGGAUUCA